rnacentral:rRNA from 1 species
GUACGAAAACUUCGCAAUGCGGGAAACCGCGACGAGGGGAUUCCAAGUGCUCAUGGUUUUCCAUGGGCUGUUUUCCUGCCUAAAAAGCAGGGAGAGUAAGGGCUGGGUAAGACGGGUGCCAGCCGCCGCGGUAAUACCCGCAGCCCGAGUGGUGAUCGUUAUUAUUGGGCCUAAAGCGUCCGUAGCCUGCCUGGUAAAUCCUUGGGUAAAUCGGGCAGCUUAACUGUCCGAAUUCCGGGGAGACUGCUAGGCUUGGAACCGGGAGAGGUCGGAGGUACUCCGGGGGUAGAGGUGAAAUUCUGUAAUCCUCGGGGGACCACCAGUGGCGAAGGCGUCCGACUUGAACGGGUUCGACGGUGAGGGACGAAGCCCUGGGGCACAAACCGGAUUAGAUACCCGGGUAGUCCAGGGUGUAAACGCUGCGGGCUUGGUGUUGGGGGUCCUACGUGGGCGUCCAGUGCCGGAGAGAAGUUGUUAAGCUCGCCGCCUGGGGAGUACGGUCGCAAGACUGAAACUUAAAGGAAUUGG